GAGUGCAUACCAGCUCACCACGGUUGCAACCCCAGGGUUCCUGCAAGACUUGCCAGCAGCCCCACCCCUUCUCUCCUCAGAGGCUCUUCUUACUUUGGGAAGGGGUCGGGACUCAAGGCUUUCAGGAGCUUCCUGAGUCUCUUUCCAGAAGGGAAGGUUUCAUCCUGCAGGAACUAACGGCAGAAGUCACAGAAAUGCUGCCAGCACUGAUACACACCUACUAGUUUACAUCCAGCAAGAAAGGGAAAACCUUCCAGACAUGGAAUAGAUGUUCUUCCUGGUUUGUUUCUGUGAUAUCGAGGAUUGGACUGGAACCCCAGGCCUGGUUCUCUUCAUUCCUUUUUGAUUUUGUUUUCCCAGUGUCCUGGUGGUGCUCUCCAUCAUUUUUGUGAGACAGGGUCUCUUUCACUGAACGUGGUUGGAACUCACCAGUUGAUUAGACCGGCUAACCAGUGAGAUCCAGGGUUCCACCUCUAUCCUGAAUGCUGGAGUGAAUGAUGUGUGUCAUGUCCACUUUUAUAUGCAUGUUGGGCAUAUGAACUCAGGUCCUCAUGCUUUUGCAAGCUGGUACUUUACCAGCUGAGCCCUCUCCCCAACCCCAGACCAUGCAUUUUUUUCCCAGUGGUGAAUAUAUGCUGGCUAGUUUUUUGUCAGCUUGAGACAACCUGGAGUUGUUUUGAAGAGGGAACUUCAACUGAAGGAACUUCAACUAAGGAAACACUCCCAUCAGACUGGCUUAAUGACAAGUCUAAGGUGCAUUUUCUUGAUUGAUGAUUGAUGUGGGAGGGCCAAAUACACUGCAGGCAUGACUCCUCUAUAGCCUCUAUGUCAAUUCCUGCCUCCAGGUUCCUGCCCUUACUUCCCUGGAUGAUAGACUGCAAUCUGUAAGAUGAAAUAAACCUUUUUCUUCCCAG